rnacentral:rRNA from 1 species
GAACUAAGCAUAUCAAUAAGCGGAGGAAAAGAAACUAACAAGGAUUCCCCUAGUAACUGCGAGUGAAGCGGGAAAAGCUCAAAUUUAAAAUCUGGCAGUCUCUGGCUGUCCGAGUUGUAAUCUAGAGAAGUAAUGCCCGUGCUGGACCGUGUAUAAGUCUCCUGGGAUGGGGCGUCAUAGAGGGUGAGAAUCCCGUCUUUGACACGGACUACCAGUGCAUUGUGGUAUGCUCUCAAAGAGUCGAGUUGUUUGGGAAUGCAGCUCAAAAUGGGUGGUAAAUUCCAUCUAAAGCUAAAUAUUGGCGAGAGACCGAUAGCGAACAAGUACCGUGAGGGAAAGAUGAAAAGAACUUUGGAAAGAGAGUUAAACAGUACGUGAAAUUGCUGAAAGGGAAACGCUUGAAGUCAGUCGCGUUGGCCGGGAAUCAGCCUUGCUUCUGCAUGGUGUACUUUCUGGUUGACGGGUCAGCAUCAAUUUUGACCGCUGGAAAAAGGCCUGGGGAAUGUGGCAGCUUCGGCUGUGUUAUAGCCCCUAGUUGCAUACAGUGGUUGGGAUUGAGGAACUCAGCACGCCGCAAGGCCGGGUUUCGACCACGUUCGUGCUUAGGAUGCUGGCAUAAUGGCUUUAAGCGACCCGUCUUGAAACACGGACCAAGGAGUCUAACAUGCCUGCGAGUAUUUGGGUGGAAAACUCAAGUGCGUAAUGAAAGUGAAAGUUGAGAUCCCUGUCGUGGGGAGCAUCGACGCCCGGACCAGAACUUUUGGGACGGAUCCGCGGUGGAGCAUGUAUGUUGGGACCCGAAAGAUGGUGAACUAUGCCUGAAUAGGGUGAAGCCAGAGGAAACUCUGGUGGAGGCUCGUAGCGAUUCUGACGUGCAAAUCGAUCGUCAAAUUUGGGUAUAGGGGCGAAAGACUAAUCGAACCAUCUAGUAGCUGGUUCCUGCCGAAUUCCCCUCCGGA